GAUGAACGCUGGCGGCGUGCUUAAGACAUGCAAGUCGAACGGAGUGUGUAGCAAUACUCACUAAGUGGCGAAUGGGUGAGUAACACGUAGGUGACCUGCCCUGAAGUGCGGAAUAACAGUCCGAAAGGAUUGCUAAUACCGCAUGUGGUCCCGGGCGUUAGAGAACCGGGUCUAAAGCAGUAAUGCGCUUCAGGAGGGGCCUGCGGUCCAUCAGCUAGUUGGUAGGGAAUGGCCUACCAAGGCAACGACGGAUAGGGGACCUGAGAGGGUGGGCCCC
rnacentral:rRNA from 1 species